rnacentral:rRNA from 1 species
ACGAAGGGUGCAAGCGUUAAUCGGAAUUACUGGGCGUAAAGCGUGCGUAGGCGGUUUGUUAAGUCCGUUGUGAAAGCCCUGGGCUCAACCUGGGAAUUGCAGUGGAUACUGGCGAGCUAGAGUGCGGUAGAGGAUGGUGGAAUUCCCGGUGUAGCGGUGAAAUGCGUAGAGAUCUGGAGGAAUACCGGUGGCGAAGGCGGCCCCCUGGACAAAGACUGACGCUCAGGUGCGAAAGCGUGGGGAGCAAACAGGA